rnacentral:rRNA from 1 species
CGAGCGCAACCCCUAUCAUUAGUUGCCAUCAGGUCAAGCUGGGGACUCUAAUGAAACUGCCUACGCAAGUAGUGAGGAAGGUGGGGAUGACGUCAAAUCAGCACGGCCCUUACGUCCAGGGCGACACACGUGCUACAAUGGCCGGCACAACGGGAAGCGAGUUCGCGAGGACGAGCGGAUCCCUCAAAGACCGGUCGCAGUUCGGAUUGAAGUCUGCAACUCGACUUCAUGAAGCUGGAAUCGCUAGUAAUCGUGGAUCAGCCAAGCCGCGGUGAAUACGUUCCCGGGCCUU